GACAGAGGUGCCGAGCGUUAGGCGGAAUCACUGGGCUUAAAGCGUGUGUAGGCGGGUGCGUAAGUACCUUGUGAAAUCCCACGGCUCAACCGUGGAACUGCUUGGUAUACUGCGGGUCUUGAGCCACCUAGGGGCAAGCGGAACAAGCGGUGGAGCGGUGAAAUGCGUAGAUAUCGCUUGGAACGCCAAUGGUGAAAACAGCUUGCUGGGGGUGUGCUGACGCUGAGACACGAAAGCUAGGGGAGCGAAUGGG
rnacentral:rRNA from 1 species